rnacentral:rRNA from 1 species
CCUACGGGAGGCAGCAGUGAGGAAUAUUGGUCAAUGGACGAGAGUCUGAACCAGCCAAGUAGCGUGAAGGAUGACUGCCCUAUGGGUUGUAAACUUCUUUUAUCAAGGAAUAAAACGAGGCACGUGUGCCUUUUUGCAUGUACUUUAUGAAUAAGGAUCGGCUAACUCCGUGCCAGCAGCCGCGGUAAUACGGAGGAUCCGAGCGUUAUCCGGAUUUAUUGGGUUUAAAGGGAGCGUAGAUGGGUUGUUAAGUCAGUUGUGAAAGUUUGCGGCUCAACCGUAAAAUUGCAAUUGAUACUGGCAGUCGUGAGUACAGUUGAGGUAGGCGGAAUUCGUGGUGUAGCGGUGAAAUGCUUAGAUAUCACGAAGAACCCCGAUUGCGAAGGCAGCUUACUAAACUGUGACUGACAUUGAUGCUCGAAAGUGUGGGUAUCAAACAGGAUUAGAUACCCCUGUAGUC